AACCCAUGUUGAGGACAUUUCCAUAAGAGAUCCUUGAACUUUCCCAAUGUCUCAAAGAGAAACUCCAAUUACAUUUGCACAAAGGAAGAUAUCUUAUUCCUAUGCUU